rnacentral:rRNA from 1 species
UACGUAGGGCGCAAGCGUUGUCCGGAAUUAUUGGGCGUAAAGAGCUCGUAGGUGGCUUGUCGCGUCUGCCGUGAAAGCCCGUGGCUUAACUACGGGUCUGCGGUGGAUACGGGCAGGCUAGAGGCUGGUAGGGGCAAGCGGAAUUCCUGGUGUAGCGGUGAAAUGCGCAGAUAUCAGGAGGAACACCGGUGGCGAAGGCGGCCUGCUGGGCCAGUUCUGACGCUGAGGAGCGAAAGCGUGGGGAGCGAACAGG